UGAACGCUAGCGGGAGGCUUAACACAUGCAAGUCGAGGGGCAGCACGAGUCCGCCGCAAGGUGGAUUUGGUGGCGACCGGCGUACGGGUGAGUAACGCGUAUGCAACCUACCCUGUACAGGGGGAUAGCCCGGAGAAAUUCGGAUUAAUACCCCAUAAAUAUAUUUGAAGGCAUCUUCAGAUAUUUAAAGUUUCGACGGUACGGGAUGGGCAUGCGUAACAUUAGCUAGUUGGUAAGGUAACGGCUUACCAAGGCGACGAUGUUUAGGGGUCCUGAGAGGGUGAUCCCCCACACUGGUACUGAGACACGGACCAGACUCCUACGGGAGGCAGCAGUGAGGAAUAUUGGUCAAUGGGCGCAAGCCUGAACCAGCCAUCCCGCGUGCAGGAAGACGGCGCUAUGCGUUGUAAACUGCUUUUCCAGGGAAAGAAAACCCCCGACGUGUCGGGGCUUGCCGGUACCCUGGGAAUAAGCAUCGGCUAACUCC
rnacentral:rRNA from 1 species